rnacentral:rRNA from 1 species
AAGGGGAGCAAUCCCUGAGUAAAGUGGCGACCGGGUGAGUAACACGUGACUAACCUACCCUCGAGUGUGGAAUAACAUCGGGAAACCGACGCUAAUACCGCAUAACAUCGCAAGAUCAAAGGAGCAAUCCGCUUGAGGAGGGGGCCGCGGCUGAUUAGCUAGUUGGCGGGGUAACGGCCCACCAAGGCGAAGAUCGGUAGCCGGCCUGAGAGGGCGCACGGCCACACUGGAACUGAAACACGGUCCAGACUCCUACGGGAGGCAGCAGUGGGGAAUUUUGCGCAAUGGGGGAAACCCUGACGCAGCAACGCCGCGUGGAGGAUGAAGCCCCUUGGG